UACGAAGGGGGCGAGCGUUAUUCGGAAUUAUUGGGCGUAAAGGGCGCGUAGGCGGCUGUACAAGUCAAAGGUGAAAUCCCUCGGCUCAACUGAGGAACUGCCUUUGAAACUGUACGGCUUGAGGCCGGGAGGGGGUAGCGGAAUUCCCAGUGUAGCGGUGAAAUGCGUAGAUACUGGGAGGAACACCAGUGGCGAAGGCGGCUACCUGGACCGGUUCUGACGCUGAGGCGCGAAAGCGUGGGUAGCAAACAGG
rnacentral:rRNA from 1 species